GCUGGCAAAGCAUGAGACCAUACCAUUUUGGGCUUUGAUUUGCUUGUUGGGCUUGGUGGCGGACGGACUGUAACCGUAAGUGAAAGGAAUUCCUAAGUGAAAUUGUGGAUAGGUUUAGCAGGCCGGCCCAGUACGUUCCCUGUGUGCUUGCUCUCUGGGCCUCCAACGACACCCGCAACGGUUCUUCAACCAAAAUGUGGCCCAAUUCUCAAAUUCUCAAAAAACGAAAAAAUGUGGCCCAC
rnacentral:lncRNA from 1 species